UUUGUUGGAGAGUUUGAUCCUGGCUCAGGACGAACGCUGGCGGCGUGCUUAACACAUGCAAGUCGAGCGG
rnacentral:rRNA from 1 species